CCAUCCCGCACCGAGCGAGACAAGGGUUUCUAUUUUUCCCUGGGAGUCAUAAGGGACACAUCUACGGCAAAGAUAAAGUUGAAGAAGUUGUAGACAGAACACCUGCUUUGAAGGUAUAUUGUUAUGAUGAGUAUUCUUUCUUGAAGGCAUAGUCAACUAUUAAUGAGUCUUAUGCUGGUGGAACUGUAGAAAAUUAAACCACCAUGGAUGGGUCCCUAGAAAAUAUCAAAACAGUGGAUGCAUCUGUUGGGAGCACCAAGGCCAUAAAUAUAUCACUAGAAGGAAGUGUGGGUGUGGCUGCUGAUGUGUCUGGAGAAGGUACCAAUGAAAUGGAUGGAUCAAUGAGAAAAGCCACUAUGACUAGUGGACCAGUAGAAAAUGACAAUGGCCUUGUUGGAGCAGUGGAAAUUUCCAGUAACAUCAAUAGUUCAGUGGGAAAUGUUGAUGACAGAGAUGCAUCAGGAAGUAUAACUCAUUUGGAUGGAUCUUUAAAUACUGGCAAUGUGGAUGAAUUAGUGACUGUUGCUCCUGAGGCAACUGAAAAUUUACAGUUAGAACCUAAGGUUGGUAUGGUUUUUCAUUCGGAAGAGGAAGCAUAUGAAUUCUAUAAUUCAUAUGCCAAGAGAAAGGGAUUCAGUGUGCGCAAGGGGCAUCUUUCCCGAAGAAGAGAUAAUAGCAUACGAGAUAGGCACUAUGUCUGUAGCAAUGAAGGUACUCGUCAAGAGCAUCGCACUCAUGUAACUAAGAAACCACGUCCACUGGAGAGAACAAAAUGUUUGGCUCGUAUUGAGUUCAAAGUGAAUCGUAGCAAUGUAUGGGUAGUAAAUAAGCUCAUUGAAGAGCACAAUCAUCUGCUUGCAAGCCCAAAUAAGAUUCACAUGUUGCGGUCACAUAGAAAGAAAUUGCCUGUUGAACGUGCAAUCUUUACUGAAGCAGAUUACUAUUAUGGGGUAAAACCUUCUCUGAUGUAUGAUUCUCAGUCAGAGGAGGUACAGAGUAUGGGAGAUGGAGAAUUGCUUGUGAAGAACCAAAACAGCUGUUUGAGUGCUACAAGGCUACGGGAUCUUGAAAAGGGAGAUGCACAGUUCCUUUUAGAUAUUCUGAAAAAUAAACAGUCUGAAGAUCCGUCAUUUUUUUAUGCGGUACAAAUAGAUGAAAAGGAACGCAUGACCAACUUCUUUUGGGCGGAUGCACGGUCAAUAAAUGAUUAUGCCUACUUUGGUGAUUCAGUCUUGUUUGACACAACCUAUCGAACGAGCAGGUUUGACAUACCAUUUGCACCAUUUAUUGGCGUAAAUCAUCAUAAGCAAAUUGUUAUAUUUGGUGCUGCAUUGCUGUUGGAUGAAUCUAUAGAAUCAUUCAUUUGGUUAUUUAGAACUUUUAUGGCUGCUAUGUCUGGUAGACAGCCAAAGACAAUCUUUACAGAUCGCUGUGCUGAAAUGUCAAAAGUGAUUACUAUGACUUUUCCUGAUACAUGCCAUCGACUUUGUUUAUGGCACAUACUUCAAAAUGUUCCAAAGCAUUUUCAUGGUGUGUCCAACCGUGAAUCCAACUUCCAAAAAGAUUUUGAGGAUUGCAUAUUUGGAAGUAGUUCUGAAGAAAUUUUAUGUAAAUUAUGGGAUAGCUUGAUUUCUAAACAUUGUCUUGGAAAUAGUGCAUGGUUGAAGGACCUAUAUGCAGCCACAGAAAAAUGGGCUCUUGCUUACCUUAAUUCAUUUUGUGCUACCAUGACAACAAAACAAUGGGCUGAAGGCAUGGACAAUCUCUUCAAGAUUCAUUUCUACAGGAAACUGCCUCUGCCCAAAUUUAUUGCACAAUAUUUCAAGGCAUUAGUUCAACUACGUGAAAAGGAACUUUUUGAAGAUUAUGAAUCUAGGCAAACUAAACCUGUUUUGUUGGUUGAUAUACCUGUUCUAGCUGAAGCAGCAGAAUCAUAUACAAGGACAAUAUAUGUGGAUUUUGAAUACGAGUACAAGAGCCAACUUGCUUGCCUAUGUGAAACUAUUGCUAUGGAUGGGACAGUUUAUACUUUUAGAGUUUCUAUUCCUCAAAAAUGCACUGGGCUUGUUGAGUUUAAUCCAUCCAAUAUUACAAUUAAAUGUAGCUGUAAAAAAUUUGAAUCAAUGGGCAUCUUGUGUAUGCAUGCAUUAAAAGUUCUUAACAAUAAUAACAUUCUCUAUCUCCCUCCUCAGUACAUUUUGAAGAGAUGGACAAAGUAUGCAAAAGAUGGGACAUUAUACUGUGGACCUCAUUUGGCAGCUGAUUCCAGUGCCCAAGAGUCAUUGAUCUCACGAUACAGUCGCAUUUGUCAUAAAGCAGUAUCUGUUGCGGUAAAAAGUGCACUGUCAAAAGAAUCCCUUGAAAUUCUUGAACAUGGGCUUGACCGAUUCAUUGCUGAAAUGGAGAAUAUGUUUCAUGGUGCUCCUUGGACCAAACAAACACAAGAUGUGAAUGUCGAUGAUGCUAUGCAGCAUACUACAUUAGAAACAAGUGGGAUUUGUUUCGAUGGUUUUGAGUUUGCUGCGAGAUGAGCUUAGAUUGUUGUAUGCCUUUUUCAAGUGCCUGUUGAAGUACUCUUCACAUGGUCUCACAUGCAGUGCAACUAGAGGUUUACCACUUGGUGAAUGUAUGCCUUUUUCAAGUGCCUGUUGAAGUACUCUUCACAUGGUCUCACAUGCAGUGCAACUAGAGUAUGCGACUCCCCUCAGAAUCAGUUUAAGAAAAAUGUUGACCAUGGAUUUGUUUUGGAUGCAUGGAUUUAUGUUGGAUGUGUUGCUUCCAGGAGCUACGGGAGAUGUUCUUCAGUUUUUCUUUUACAGUUUUUGGAUGGGUUCUGUAACACCCUUUGAAGAAAUUCUCUCUCGUAUAUGUAUCCUGCUCAAGAUGAUUGGGGUAUGCUGCACAAAUACUUGAGUAUACUUUUCAACAUAUUUUGGAAAAAAUCAAUGGCCAUCUUGGUAAGAUCGAACAUGUAUUUGGAACUUAUAUCAACAUAUUUUGGUUGUUUUGUAUGUACUAAAAAAUUGAUCUCACUCAUCAAUGUGCUUUGUGCACUGAAUUCUCCUCUUGAAUUGAUCGUUUGCCUUCAAUCCCAUCAUCACAAAUAUCUUUGGUUAAUUGCAUCAUCCAGAUGAGUAUAAAAAAAAAGCUGCAUAUAGCUUUCAUGGUUCAUGAUUUGCUUCUUAACAAAAUUGAGAGUAUGCUUGUUUUGUCAGAUUUGAAGAAUAUAUCUGAAGGCAUCAAUGGUUGACUUUGCCAUGUAUUUAAGCAAUCUGUUUCUCUUGUGAAUUUAUCUCUGUUCCGGUUAAACUUAGAAAAACCAAUAUGCAGGUUUAGAUGUAAUGACUUGCCUCUCUGACAAUGUUGGAAAGACUGAUAUUAUUGCAGAUUGAGAAUCCUGAAUUCUGGAAUGGACAACUUUGCUUAUAGAAAAAACUAUCAUGUUAUUUUUAGCAAGGUUCAUCGUACCAUGGUGUACCGUUCGAUAUGGGCGGUAUAUACUAGUCCGAUAGGGGAUUGGUAUGGGCGAUACAUUGGUACACCCCCAUGUACCAUGUGUUGGUAUGUUUGGUACAGCUCUGUAUAGCUCGGUACGUACCAUACCAACAGCUGAUCGGUACACCGGUACGGACCGAUAAGGCGAAUCAUGAUUUUUAGUCUAUAAAUAGUUGCCAAGAUAGUAUGUAUUUUAACAGAAGAACAUGCAUUUUGUACCUGUCUGACAUAAGAUGUCAAUUUUGCUUAGAAUGCUAGGAAUUUGCUUUAAUGGAUUCCUAGUCUGAGGAUAGACUGCUUAUAACUUAGUCAUAGGAUAGACUGCUGGUUUUGAAGCUUUGGAGGUCUCGCUUAUUUACUAUAAUGUUCUAAAAAUUCUUAUCAACAGUGCCUCAUCCUAGUGGUUCCUUGUUGUCUUUAUCUUUUCUUAGAGGUUCUAGGUCCCGAUACUUUGUUUAGCUUAGGUAAUUCUCUUGGUGGGAGUUCAUGCCUUUGGGUAAUCAUCAUUGACAAUCAUGUUAGUAUCUUCUACACCUUUGGUUAAAUUAUUUCUUUUAACCUUUUGCUACCUUCCCUUGUGGGGGGCAAUUUCAUAUUUUUUGCUUCAGUCUAUCUGAAUGAAAGGAGUCAAGGUAAUAUAGCCUUAGCAUGAGAACUGAGAUCCAGACAUGUCAUUCUCCUGUUUCAUUCUUUUCCUUCUUCCGCCAAUGAAAUGUAAGAUCAUCAAUCCUAUUACUAUAUUUCUCUCCAUUCUUGCACUUGUCACUAUAUUUGUGGCAUUAUCAUCUUUCAAUAGUAGUUUUCUUGCUGUCUUUUGCUUAUAUCUUCUUUGCUGGCUCCUGGCCUUGAUAUAUUUGAGGUUAAUAUUUGCAAAUGUGGUCCAAGCUUUAAGUUGCUUGGACUAUGGUUUUUCUAGUGCAGCUUUUCAUACUAAUUUUCUAGGUUAUAUAAUAAAAAUAAUAGGAAAUUUUCAUCGUAUCGAUAAUGUAUGCAAGUGAAGUAUCUGAAUGUAUUCAAGUGAAGUAUUUAGUAUUUACCAACUGUUUUGCAAGGAUAAGGUAUUGUGUGCUUUCUGUUUGAGGCUGACCAAUCAUCCCUUAUACAUUGAGAAACUCAUUACCUCUUCUUUUUCUUGCACUAUGCUUUCUGUUUGACUUCAAUGCUUGACCAUUAAUGGUUAAAUCUUUUUUUUUUUCCUUCAAGGAAGAGUGGAACAUUGCUGUUGCAGAUAUGCAAAAACAUGUAGCAAAUAUUGUGAGUUCAAGUAAGGGUCAAUAAUUUUCUUUAAAGGUAAAUUUGAUAAGAUCACUUUGGUUGCUUGAUUGCAACUGAACUUUGGGAUAUUAAUAGGAAGGUGUCUUAUAUGUGGGUUGCUAUUGGAGGAAGCAGUCAAAAGUUUACGAUUCUUUCUCUAUUCAACUUGAUUCAUGUCCGUCAUGGUCCAUCCAAAGGUGAUGCCAUUUUAUUUGAACUUGCAAGCCAUCUUGUUAUGUUGUCCUUGCAGUUUUGCAUUAUGAUCCAUCAGUUUUGGUACCCUGUAUUUUUGUUGUACAACUUGGCAAAAGUGCAAUGGUGUGUAGGAUCCUGCAUGUAUUCUUGUUGACACUAAUCUUGUACCACUAUUUGAUGUUGCAAGCAGAUAUAAAAGGAUACUUGAUGGAAAUAUCCAACGAUAGAACAGUAUACUAGGCUGUAAAUUCACAGAUACAUUUCUGCACGUAUGUAAUCAACUGUUAGGAUUCACAACCAGUCCCAAAUAGGUGGUACGAGGCUUGUACAAAUAUGGUUAUGUUAAGAUGUUGGAUGUCUAUUGCAUCUUGCAUUUUGGUUGAAUGGUCUAUUGGAUGAGAUUUAGCUGGCAUCAAUUAUUUGUUUCAUCACAUGUGCACGCAAUCCAAAUCUUUGCUACAGUUUUUGUGCACCAUCGAUAUUUAAUCUUCAUAAAACUACAAGGUGAUGCUUCGGUUUUGUCAAUGUUACUUUAGGACUUGGUUCAAUUCCUUGACUAGAUAUAUCUUGCAGGUACAAAGGGAUUUAUUAACUUGCUAAGUCAUAGUUAGCAGAUAUCGGUCUACCAUUCGGCCUUAUUGGUGGUUUUACUCCUGCAGGUGCCAUUCCUCGUCAACUUUUAUCUGAAGUGUCAUAGUUUUGUCUUCAAUGGUUGUAUCUGUGCUCUAGUGGGUUAAUAUUAUUUGCAGUACUCCCAUGUAGCUUCUGGUCUGUCAAGCUCUGCAGCAUUUGUCUGGACAGCAACAAUUGACAUCAUGGCUGUUCUUGGUAAGAACUUCCAAAGGUAAAACAAGUGUGUGCUUAUGUAAUUAGAAGAAUUGUUGACUGCUGUUUAUUAGCCAUCCUCACAUCUUAUGCAUGAUCAAUAAAUUCAAUUGGAUUUGAUUGUCAAAUUACUGCAACACUUUCCUAAUUAUCGUCAAUGAACUGAAAAGAGUCAUUGUAAGAAAUGUUGGACCAACAUCGAAGUUUCCUUUUGGUAAAUUGGUUUCUCGUUUGAUAUGGUGAACACCAAUGAUAACUUAGGCUCAUAAUUAAAAGAUUGUGUAAUUGAAUAAUAUAUGUUUGGUCUCAUUUCUUUGCUGUGCGCCCCCUGCUUCAUUUGUGCUGAUGAAGAAGCGUCACAUACUCAUCCCUCACAGUGUCUCACAAAUUCUUAUGGUUUAGUACCCGAGUCAUUGGGAAACCAUGCCGGCAAAACUUGCCAUACUCUGGCUGUAAAUUGCUGCUUCCACCAACUGUUGUUGUAUAUUUUUCUUUAAACUGCUAGCUUAGUCAACAAAGCAUACAUUUGGCCCUCUGGUCAACCAUCAUUUUUUCAACUUCCACCAACCACAAUUUGCUAUAGUUGGUCCAACUUAAUCAUCACAUAGUCAUGACACCUUAUUGGUAGUCAUCAUAACUAGAACUGGACCUGCCAGUAGUCAUCAAACUUAGGGUUUUUGGUUGGACUGGUGGAUAAAUCGAUCAGAUUGUAUGCUUAAUUUACAAAAAAAUUGUAGAAUAAUUUAAACUCUGACUUCAAUAGGUAAAAGAUUGGUUGGCUGAGGGGGAAUCUUGAAAAAUGUAGAUUACUUUUCUUCAUAAUCAAGAAAACUAUUUGUUCUAGUUAUUCUGGUGGCAUUUUGGAACCAACAUGGUCUGGUUGGACUGGGCUGAUAUUUUGGUUUCAUGUACAAUACCAUAUCUGAACGGGAUUGGCUCUUAGCUGAGGAUGCGGUUCCCAGCUUUUUCAGUCGGAUGAAACCAUGUUUAUGUCCAGUUCUGAUAAUUAUGGUUCUGUUGUGAUGAUACUUGUUUCCUACUACUGAUACAGGUGAUAUACUGAUCAGUGUCAGAAUACAGUGUCUAAUUCUCUGCCAUAUGUCAAUUAUUCUCUGGAAAUCUGCUUCAUAGUAAAGUUGAAAGGAUUUAUUGGAACAACAAAUUCAAUUAGCAAUCAGUCCUCCAUACACUUGUCCCUCCUUGAUGUCAGGUUUAGUUUUGCUGGCAAUCAAAUUUGUGUGGUUAAGUUGCACUAUGCAGACUUUGUCUUUCUUUUCGUUUCUUGAUCUUGUACAUUAUUUAUGUAAUGAAGUGAUAGGUUUACCCCACCUUUCAUUGGAUAAUUGAGCCAAUAGGGCGGCGACACAGUCAACUCAUCUACAGCCAAAAAUGGUGCGUGUAGGUGUAGUUGCUUACAUAUUUCUGAGAAAGAAAGGAAGGCUCCUUCAAAGCAACUCUACAUGUUUCGUUAGAACUAUUGCUGAGAUACUACAGGCAGGAGGGCCAACUUGUGCCCAACCAAACCCAUUAAUUGGCUUAAUAUCCGUGGCACUUCACUUAUACAGUGCUUUACUGCUGAGAACCAACCUCUGACGGCCACAUCAGUUGGGUUUGCCAUUUCCUUGACUGGGGGUAUUCAUGGUGCUACCCAGGUACAAGUGAUUGAUACCUCCUGCCUAUUAAAUCAGAUCAUAUAUUCUUUACAUACAGUUGAAGGUAUAUUGGUUUCUCAACACACACAUGUUAACUAAUUGUUUUGUUUACCAAUAGGUCUUUGUCCAAUGGUAGAUUUCUUCUUGAUCUUCUUGGAAUGAAGAGGUUCUAAAAGUUCCAAUGCUUUGUUCAACCUAGAUAGUUCUCUCUGGGUGAAGAAAUGACAUUGAUGAUAUGUUAGGACCCUUUGUUACAGUAACCUUUGUUGUUUUAUAACUCUUUUAUACUUUUUGGUCCACUCGAAUGAGAUAUAAUCAAUCCCUUGUGAUAAUCGAGUGUCAAUAGAAUAUAAAUAUUUGAGAAAUUUCAAUUUUUUUAAUUUAUUUAUUUAGCUCA